rnacentral:rRNA from 1 species
GAUGAACGCUGGCGGCGUGCCUAAUACAUGCAAGUCGAGCGAACAGACGAGGAGCUUGCUCCUCUGACGUUAGCGGCGGACGGGUGAGUAACACGUGGAUAACCUACCUAUAAGACUGGGAUAACUUCGGGAAACCGGAGCUAAUACCGGAUAACAUGUUGAACCGCAUGGUUUAACAGUGAAAGACGGUCUUGCUGUCACUUAUAGAUGGAUCCGCGCCGCAUUAGCUAGUUGGUAAGGUAACGGCUUACCAAGGCAACGAUGCGUAGCCGACCUGAGAGGGUGAUCGGCCACACUGGAACCGAGACACGGUCCAGACUCCUACGGGAGGCAGCAGUAGGGAAUCUUCCGCAAUGGGCGAAAGCCUGACGGAGCAACGCCGCGUGAGUGAAGAAGGUCUUCGGAUCGUAAAACUCUGUUAUUAGGGAAGAACAAAUGUGUAAGUAACUAUGCACGUCUUGACGGUACCUAAUCAGAAAGCCACGGCUAACUACGUG